AGAGAUACUAGUAAGACUGGUUGCCAUGGCAAUGCAUGUGAAUUUGGGGCCAGAUCUCUUGAGAGAGUACUGAAGGGAGUGGUGUAUUUGUUUGGCAGUUGAGUUCAAAUAUCAACAAUCUCUCCUCAGAAUUGCUUACUAUCCCUUUAAAUCAUGUUAGAAAUAGGCCCACAUGACCCUCAGUGUCAGAAACAGCCAAGAGAGUGGAGGAGCGGCAGCUGAGACCAGGACAGCUCAUAUAGUGGAAACUGAAAGUUAUUCCAAGGGUAGAUCAAGAGAUAAAGUGGCUGACAAACAUUCCUGAGGAGCUACCUGGAGUCAGGCCCUCCCUAUAGUCUACUUAAGUCAACCUAUCAACGCCCUAGAGACGCAGAAUCAAGGAGGAGCAGAACUCUAAGUAUGGCUCCAACAAGAGAUGAAGGGGGCUCACAGAGACUGCUUAUGUGUAGGGCCCAGAAUUGUACGCUACACCCCUGCACAACAAUACAGAGAGAGACAGAUUGAGUAAGAGAGAGCAGUCCUGCGACUGCCUGCUGAUGCUGGAGCACCAACACGUUGUGUCUUUCCCCAAGAAAGGGAAACUGGGAAACCAAAAAAAGAGAAGAAAGAAAGGAAAGAGAAGGAAAAACAAACUAAGGGA